rnacentral:lncRNA from 1 species
GUUUCCAUAGCAACAAAACAGGACUAGAAUAAUAAUACAGAACCAACAACUGAUAAAAACAAUACUUGGUAAACUGCAUGCGAGCGUCACCUUGCCUCCCAGCACAGAGCAAGAACUCAGAAAAGGUGCCCUUUUCCACCCCUUUAAGUCCCUGUAGCUGUAUGAGAUCAGAUUUUGCCCACGGGCUCACCUGACGUCUUCCCUUCCCCUCUCCCUCUGGCCUGUCCCCAUCUCACCCUGCAUGUGAACUCGGCAAGGAGAGCCCUGGAACUAGGGAUGUGGCUGCCCAGGAGCUGCCUCAUUCUUCCCUUGACUUGUCCACACCUGUUUCCUGUCUUCUUCUGAUAACGCCGGAGAAUGAAAAUGGAACCCAACUUUUUUACCAAAACUAAUCCCCUCUUACCCAGGGCCUUUCUGAAAACAUCACACUGCCCUGAGCACUGCUGGCCUUCCCACCAGCCGGUCCACUCAGUGCAGCCUGGAGUGUUUUCCAGCGUGUGUUUAGCCUCUUCCACACCAGUGUUUUGUUCUUUGCCCAGUAUUUAGUGGUUUGUGAUCAUGUGCUUUCACCAAUGGUGUGGUUUCAACUCAAUAAUAAGAGUAAUGCCAUGACACUUUGCAAUGUUACCCCAAUUUCUUAGUGAAAAUAUAGCUCAUAAGUGAGAAGAGCAUUCUAUUUUACCUAUAAAUCAAAUUUAUAAAUUUAUGAAAAUAUUUGUCUGCUUAAAGGAGAGUUGUGGCUUUUUCUUUUUCCUUUUUUUUCCUCAUUGCUUUGGCAUAAAAGAUAAUUCCUUGUGUACAGAGUCACUGACCAUCUGUUUUGUGAGCUGUAGAUUGUAGACUGUCUUUCAACUUAGAGAUGUCUUUUUUUCCCUGCUCUUUUCUUUCUCUUUCUUUUUUCAUUUCUUUUCUUUUCCUUUCUUUCUCUCAUUUCUUUCUUUCUUUCUUUCUUUUUAUUGUGAGUGUGCAUGUUGAUUGACUAGAUUGGAUGUUUAAAAAUAUAGUAAGGUUUAAAAAGAAUAAUGAAAUGCUUCCUGUUCAUUUUUCUAUUAUGGUGAAGUAUCCAUAACAAAACUUACCAUUUUAACCCUUUUUAAGUGUACAAUUUAGUGCUUCAGCCCCACUAAAUAUAUUCCCAUUUUUAUACAAAAGUCAUCAUUAUCCAUCUCCAAAACUUUUUCAUC